ACUCGUAGCUAUAAUUCACAAUAUUACUGGAUUACAAAAUAAACUUUCUCGAGGGCUCGGAAGAGGAAGGUUUUUGGGUUUGUUUUGGGAGGUUUGAGUGAGGGGUGUAUGUUUGCUUUUUACCAAUGGGGAAGAAAGGGGAGAAUCAUCUGGAAGCUUUCCAGGAGAGAUGAAGUUUGAAUUGAGGUUUAAUAGCCCGAUAGGUGUUGCAAAGGGGAAAAUGAGAGGGAUAACAUGAGGAUCAGCCUUGACCUCCUACCCUCUUCUUUCCAUUUGGCACAACAUGCCUAGAGAGCCCCGGCAGCAGGAGCACACCGAAGUCAAUCGCAUUCUCUUCUGGAAGUACUUGCCGUGCCCGCCAUCGGUCCCUUGUUUAUUACUUAUUUUGAGACUCUCUGAGACACCACUUUUAGUGCAUCACAUCUCUUCCUCUUAUCUAAGCUAAGAAAAAACUUUUCACCUUGUCCCCCUUUUAGUCAUUCCACGCCGACUCCGCUUCCUGGCCCUAGCGUCCAGAAUGCAAGAAGAGUGGCCAAUGGGUGUGGGUGCCUCUGGGAGUGGCUACCAAGUACUACAAGUCCCAGAAGCCACCGGGGACGAACGGAGGGAGUGGGAAUAGGCAGGAGCCGCCCAGGUCUUAGAACAGGCACAGCCUAUUGGUCCACGCUAGAGCAGGGGAAUAAUGAAGAUGAAUCUCACCUUUUGCAAGAAGGAUGCUCUUAAAUCCUGUGUCCUCCAGCAUCUCCUAGUCUGGUCUCAGAUUUGAUCUCCACGCUUACCCCGUCUCUUAUACUGGGCCCAAUCCUGCUUUCAUUCUCCGCUAAACCCUUCCCAUCUGCUAGUUGCUUUCCUUCGUCCUCUACCUCCUCCUGUUUUCUUUGUCCUUCAAUAUCUAUAUGACUAUUCUAUCCCGCCCUGAGUGCCUGAGGUGCGUGGAAGCUUCCCAGUUUGGCCAGCCCGGAACAGAGGGCCCGGAACAGGCCAGGAUUCAGGCCGCAAGCCAGCCUCCUGUCUCCGGUGACACGCAGAGCUUCCAAUGCCUCAGCUGCAGCCCAUGCAGGAGAGCCCCGGCCCAGGGCCGGUCUGGGGCCAGAAUGCAACCUAUCCUAAAGGCUCUCUCUGCAGGGUAUACUGCUGCCAAACCAGAGAUUAUUUGUAAAAUUGAACAGAAGGAAGAACCAUGGAUAAAGGAAUCCCAGAAUGAUAGAAGCAGCUUGAAUUACCACUGGGGUUCUAGGAAUUGGAUCAGAAAUGAGAGGAUUAAAUAUGUUGGAGACAAUAUGGAAGACUCAGAGCCAUUUACAUUCUUGAUGAAGUCAGAGGGUAUUGUCCAGCUCUCCCUAAAGACUAAAAACAGUAGCAGAGAAAAGUCCUAGAAAAAACAGACCCAUACAGGAAGGUCUAGUGUGCCCCAAAGACUAUUGGGAAAAAAGAAGCCCCUAACCUGUGCUGAGUGUGACAAGAGCUUCAAAAGCAACACAGCCUUGACCAUCCAUGAGUGCAGCCACACGGGAGAAAGGCCUUUUAAGUGCCUCGAGUGUGGAAAAGGUUUCCCUUCCAAGGGGGACCUCAAGAGGCAUGGAAAGAUCCAUGUCGGGAAGCAUGAUAAAAUGGGAGUGAUGCUCAAAGAUGCCCUUCCAAAUCAUGGCCUCCCUAAGCACAGAAGACCUGACCCCAGGAAGCUUCAUGUCUGCCUUCAGUGUGGGAAAGACUUCAGAAAGGCUGGAACCCUCACGAAACACAUCAAUGGUCACCUGGCAGAGAGGCCCUUUGUGGGGAGUGUGGCCAGUGCUUCCGCCUCAAGCAGAUCUUGGUGUCCCACAGGCGGACACACAUUGGUGAGAGACCCUAUCGCUGUCCUCAGUGUGGGAAGUGUUUCAGCCAAAAGCACCAUCUCAGGAGUCACCAUCGAGUGCACACAAGUGAGAGGCCUUUUACUUGCUCCCUGUGCUCUCGAUGCUUCAGCCAGAAGCACCAUCUGGUCAGCCACCAAUGCAUCCACACAAGUGAGCAUCCCUUCACCUGUGUCAGCUGUGGCAAGAGUUUUAAGGACAAGAAGACACUGACCAUCCACUGCAGGGUACACACUGGGAAAUGACCAUACACAUGUUCUGAAUGUGGGAAGGCCUGUAGCCAGAAGCAGCAUUUGAAAAGCCACUUGUGGGUACACUGGGCAGGGGGACAAUGAAUGCUCUCAUCAUUCCCAGAAGAAAAACCCUAUCAGUGCAAGAUAUGUGGAAAGGCUUUCCGGGACAAGAGGAUUAUGCUGACCCACCAAAAGACCCAUGAUGAAGAGCCAAGACACUUUCCAGUGCUGGGGAAUGUGACAUUCCAAAAGAAGGGACUGCUUCUCUGAGGCAGUAGCAUGACUAUUCUUGGAUUGCCAUGGUCAGCCACUAAAAGAGGAUAGAAUGGGAUAUCUUCAAAGAGCCAUCUGGGAAGAUUAUCAUGGGGCCAGACCACUUGGGAGUUUCCAGAGGAAUCAGGUCACAGUAGCUCUUUUCCUUCUCUCAUAGGAUGAGAAUGGUUAAUUAUUCCACAAGGCCAACAGAUAGGGGCCUAGAGAGGAAGAAAUUCACCUUAUAAGUAAGUUCUCCUCAUAGAACAGAAAUAUAAGUUCCUCAUCUUUGAGAAGUUGUCACUUGAAGAUCCUUUAGAAAGGAAGAUAAAGAGAUCUCCCCAUUCUUUUCUCCACAUGUGAAAAAUCUGGACAAGGUCCAAAUAGCCCUCAGCUUGCCAUGUUAUCUGAAGUCUGGCUGAAAGAACUUCCAUUUAUUCUUCUAUCAAAAAUCCAAAUCCACCAUCUUUCUUUUCCUGCAGCACAACAGUAGGUUCAAAAAUCACUAUUAAAAAUCUGGAAUUGGAAAUCCUAAAUUCCACUCCUAGUCAUUUGUCACUUAGCCAAUCUGGAUCUGUUUCCUCAUUUGUAAAAUGAAGAAGUUGGACUAAAUAACCUAUUAGGCUCCUUCCAGCUCUAAAUCUAUGAUCCUAUGAUCUUAGAUUUUUGUGUGGUUGAUUCCAGUCCUAUGUUAUGAACAUUUAAGCAGGACCACAGAAUUGACUGUUCGUUAUUCUUCCAUAAUAAAGUUUUACCAUCCCUACAUUUCUAGCUGUCUUUGCUGUUCCCUGCGGGCUCAUUGCAAGUUCCCUAAUACCAAUGAUCUUCUGAUUUACUAUGUUGUUUCCAGAUUACGAAGGAAACUUUCGGCACAAUGAGCACUAUCUGGUACAGGGGGAAGUUGUUGGAUUCAGAGGUAAGACAUUGAAAGUGUAGUCCAAAUUCUUCCACAAAGUAGCUGUAACAACUUUGGGCAACUCUUUUUUUUUCUAAAUGGUUCCUCCCUCUGAGAUCUCUUCACUGCUCUCCUUUGGUCAUUUUUGUGACAAUCACGAAAACUACAUUAACUUCAUGCUGUUAUCAAAUGGGUCUGAAUUUGAAUUGGUUAAGAAGAAACUGAUUAAGGCAAGCUAAGCAAAAGGGUGGUACACUGAUUUUGACUGCUGAAUCUUUAGCCCAGGAAAUUCAAAGGAAUUAUUACAUAAUAGAAUUUAAUGCCCCUUUUGUUUCCUUCUUUUACUUCUUCCUUCCAUCUUAUUUUUUACUUCUUUCUCCCUCCAUCCCUACUAUAUUUCCUUUUUUACUCCAUCUCUUUCACUCUUCUCCCUAUCCUUGUAACUUUCAGGACCAAAAUGCCCCUCUCUAGCCAUUACUUCCUUUUUGUGUUGUCUCUCCCGUUAAAAAGUAAUUGCUUAAAAAGAUAGACUGUUUUUGUCUCUGGUAUUUAUAUCCCCAGCACUUAGUCCAAGGUUUAGUGGAUGUGCUUUUCCAUUCAUUCCUCCUAUCCCUCUUUUUACUCUCAAUUCUUCCCUUCCAUCUUCCACUCCUCUAUUUCUUCUUUAAUCAUCUAUCCAACUUUUCCCCCUUCUGCUCUUUUUUCAUUCCCUCAAUCUCUUCUCUCUUCUCCCACAAUCCUCCUUCCCAUCCUUUUUGUUUCUUCUCCUCUCAUUUCAACCCCAACCUUCACAAUUAUAAGGCAGAACCAAUAUUGGGUACUGGAGGAGAAGUCCCCACUUGCUAGAAUCUUUGUGGAAUAGAGAUCCUUGCCCCAGCCCUCUGUCCCAACACUCUCUUCCUGCUCCCAUUUCCUCUUUUUUGCUUCUUAUUUCUCCCAGUGCUCUCAUGGUUGCUUUCUCUUUUGUAAUCAAUUCAAAUCUCAUACAGUGGGGAAAAUGCUGAUUGGGAAUCAGAAGAUUUAGUUUUCAGUUCUGAAUCUGCUCCUAAUUAGUUGAUGACAAGUUUCAGCCUUACCAAACAAGUUUCUUUAUCAGAAGAAUGCAAAUAACAGCUACCCUUCCUUCUCCUGGAGACAUGGGGUGAGCAGCAAAUGAUAUAAUAUGUGUGAAAAUGAAAGUACUUUGUAAGUGGCAAAGAGCAGUUCAGGGGUUAUUAUUCAUUCUAAGGGAUUAAGAACUAACCUAAUUUCUCUCCCAGGAGCAUUGACAUUUUAGAGAGGAGCCUACAG